CUCAUUUGUACAGAAUAUUAUAUACAGUGUGUACAUAUGAUAUGCCCACACACGUAUUUAUUCUCAUCCAUAUCCAUACAUACAUUUAUUCAUAGCCAUGCCAUUCGAAUGCCCUUAGCAUUCCUAACAAAACUAACAAUAAUUCACUGGAAAUAUAAUAAAAUUUUCACAGAGGCAUUUGGGAGAUUGCUUUUCUGUACCUCUGUAAUUAUAUGACAGAACAGAAAUAAUGCUCCCCUAAGAAGGAUAUGGGUACGCAUUUCACCUCCUCAUACAUUUUAGCUUGAAUCUUGAAAUGCCUCAUCCCUUCUUUCUGGGAUGCUUGUGAAUCUGAAAUUGUCUCCUCACAGAGUCUCAGUCAACACUGCUCUGGAGAACUGGGCUCCCUCCGUGACCAUCUGCAGGCCCAGGGAGGGCGGUGCUCCCCAUGUGCAGGAAGUCUGAAGGCUGAGGUUAAGGUUGGAUUUACUCAAGGAGGCAUUUUCAUUUCCUAGCUUCCUUUUGCCCUGGCAUCCCAUAAACACAAUGACAGGUAACAAUAAGGGGAAGACAUUCCGAUUAGCUAAGUGAAUGUCAUCUGAGCUAAGCUUUCCAAUUCUCAGUAUCACCUACCCCACCCACAAAGCCACCAAACAGACAUCAGGUUUGGAUGACAAAAUGCCCUGCAGAGACUUUUUUUUGGCCUAAAAAAGUGUGUCCUCCCUACANGAUUCUCCUGGCUGCUUCUAAGGCCAGGGCUGGGGAGUCUGGAGCUCCUUGCUACCCACAACCUCCCAGCGAUUCCUCCCCCUUCCUGGAGGCUUCCCUGCCCACUCAAGAUCAUUUCCUUUCCUUCUCAAGCACUGCUUGUUUUUGCCCGUUGCUAAGCAGCCAGGAGUACUCUGGCUGCUGGCUGUUGCCUCUGCUUGCUGUGCUGCCGUUUACAUUCAGAUUCAGAUUAACCCCAUGUGGCCAGACAUCCAUUAAAAAUAUGGGGCUGUGUGACAGUAUGGAGAAGCCCUUCCAGCAGCCCAUAACAAGCCUCACCGGGUUCUUUUCUAGCAGGGUUCCCUUUCUGGAAGGAGGGACAUGGAAUGGAGAAGGCUCCAUGCCCACCACAGGCACUUGGCUUUGAGUUCUGGCCCCACCACCUACCGUGGUAACCCAGUGACUUUUAGGAAGUGGCUUUCCAACUAAGUCUUGGUUUUCUCACCUGUCAAAGCGGGUAAUAACAUAACAGCUUCUGCAAAUGUCCACUCUGAGGCUGAAAGGAGUCAAGUGUACAGAAUGUUCAGCCGGGUCCAUUAUGUGGUAAGAACUCGGGUUAAGGGCUACUAAUUCCAUCAGCAGGGCACUGACAUAUCUGUUGUCUGAGCUACCUUUCUCAUCGCUGAGGCACAGUACCUGAUACCCGUAACUUAAAGGAGCAGAGGCUUACUUGGGCCCACAGUUUGUGUAAGUUUCAGUUCUUGGGCAGCUGGCUCCAAGGCAGGACAGCAUGGCACAGGGGCAAGGAAGAGGAAUGGCUGCUUAAGACCUGGCACACAGGAAGCAGAGAGUCGAGGGAGGGGCCAGGAGGGAGAUACACCCUUCCAGGGUGCAUCCAAAGUGGCCUGCUCUGCCCACCCGCCCCACCUCCUAAGAGCAACCCAGCUGUAAGUCUCUAUAAUUCAAUCACCUUCCAAAGGUCUCACCUAUGACUAUGUGAGGCUUUAGGGGGACAUCUAGAUAUAAAGCACAACAUUUAUCAUCUACUUUUACAACAGUAUGAGUGAUCUGGUUGACCUGUUGAUAUUUUUACUCUAAAGUAAAAAAAAAAAAAAAAAAACCCAGGCAACAGAGAGGUGGAGUAACCUGUUCAAAGGCAAACAGCUAAACUUGCAUUGCAAUCUGAUUCCCUCAUGACUCCUUAUGUGUUUUUACUGCCUUGUCACAGGGUCCCGGAGCUAUCUAAGUCUCAAGGUCAAUUCCACCCACUUUCUUUGAAGAAGAGAAAUUAUUUGAAAGCAAAUGACUCCAUGGGCCUUGCUUCUUGCUUUGAAACAGUUUUACUUUUGAUCAAUAUUAAAUCACCCCCAAGAUGCAAAUUAUGUGUGCAUCUAUUCCCUGUCUGUUUUAAUGGUAAUGAACAAAUAAUAUGGACUUUGAUUCAAGUGAGAACGUCAGAACUACAAAAGGAAAAAUUGACCUUGAAGAACACGGUAUUGAAUCAUGCAUCCAAUCCAUGUGACUGGACCACAAGAAAGCUGAAUUUCAUAAAGGAAAAGAUAAUGAGAGGGUGUCAUGCCACUCAUGGAAAAGUAGAUGAUGUUAAAUCUUUUUCUCUAGGCUCUUAAUGACUCUAAUUACCAUACUACUCAAAGCGCUUUUUAGAGUCAGUUAAUUCAA
rnacentral:lncRNA from 1 species